AGUAUUGCUUAGAGGUAGAGCACUUGCCUGGCAGGCAAGAGGCCCUGAGUUCAAUCCCCAGUACU
rnacentral:tRNA from 1 species